rnacentral:rRNA from 1 species
AUGGCAGCCAUGGUUUCCCCCGUGCUCUGGUGCGCUCUGUUAUGCUGCCUCUACUCGGUCGCGCUUGGAGGCAAGGAGCACAACUUCGUAGUGGUGCCAGCCAGCUCCUUCGAGCCAGAAGCAGCAUGUUCCACAUCAGUAACUUCUGAGCUGCCGAACCGUGCGUCCGUGCCCCUGGCGCACCGGCACGGACCGUGCGUGCCCUCGGGGGCCAGCGGCAAGCCGUCUCUCGCCGAGAGGCUCCGCAGAGACCGAGCCCGCGCCAACUACAUCAUUCGCAAGGCCUCGGCGCGCACGAAAACGUUGUCAGCAGGAGACGCGAGCGUCCCGACGUUCCUCGGCGACUCGGUCGACUCGCUGGAGUACGUGGUCACCCUGGGCAUCGGCACGCCGCCCGUGCAGCAGACCGUGCUCAUCGACACUGGCAGCGACCUGUCGUGGGUGCAGUGCGCGCCCUGCAACUCCGCGCAGUGCUACCCGCAGAAAGACCCCCUGUUCGACCCCAGCAAGUCGUCCACGUUCGCGCCCAUCCCCUGCUCCACCGACGCGUGCAAGGCGCUCUCGGCCGACAGCUACGACAACGGCUGCACCAACGCCACGGACGGCGGCGCCUCCCUGUGCGGGUACGCGAUCGAGUACGGCAACCACGCAGUCACCACGGGGGUGUACAGCACGGAGACACUCACGCUCAACGCCGGCGUCUCCGUCAGCAACUUCAGCUUCGGCUGCGGCAGCAACCAGCACGGGCCCUACGACAAGUUCGACGGCCUCCUCGGCCUCGGCGGCGCGCCGGAGUCGCUCGUGUCGCAGACGUCGUCCGUGUACGGCGGCACCUUCUCCUACUGCCUCCCGCCGACGAGCGGCAGCGCCGGGUUCCUCACCCUCGGCGCGCCGAGCAACAGCACGGCCGACUUCCUGUUCACGCCGAUGCGCCACCUAUCCCCGGAGCUCGCGACGUUCUACGUCGUCACGCUCACCGGCAUAAGCGUCGGCGGGACAGCGCUGGACAUCCCGCCGGCGGUGUUCUCCAAGGGCAUGAUCAUCGACUCCGGCACGGUCAUCACGGGGCUCCCGAAGACGGCCUACGCGGCGCUGCGGACGGCGUUCCAGAGCGCCAUGUCCCAGUACCCGCUCCUGCCGCCGUCGGAGAACGGGCUCGACACGUGCUACAACUUUACCGGCAACAGCAGCGUCACCGUGCCCAAGGUGGCCCUCACGUUCAGCGGCGGCACCACCGUCGACCUCAGCGUGCCGUCGGGGGUUCUGGUGGAAGGAUGCCUCGCCUUCAGGGGAGAAAGCUCCGACGGCAGCAGCGGGAUCAUCGGCAAUGUGAAUCAGCGUACCUUGGAGCUCUUGUACGAUUCUGGCCGCGGAAGCGUCGGAUUCAGGUCUGGUGCCUGCUGA